CAGGACGAACGCUGGCGGCGUGCCUAAUACAUGCAAGUCGAACGGUCUUUCUAUGGAAGCUUGCUUCCACUGAGAAGAUAGUGGCGAACGGGUGAGUAACACGUGGGUAACCCUGCCCAUAAGAGGGGGGAUAACAUCCGGAAACGGGUGCUAAUACCGCAUAGUUUUCUUGAUCGCAUGAUCGGGAAAGGAAAGACGGCCUUUGUGCUGUCGCUUAUGGAUGGACCCGCGGCGUAUUAGUUAGUUGGUGAGGUAACGGCUCACCAAGACGAUGAUACGUAGCCGACCUGAGAGGGUGAUCGGCCACAUUGGGACUGAGACACGGCCCAAACUCCUACGGGAGGCAGCAGUAGGGAAUCUUCCGCAAUGGACGAAAGUCUGACGGAGCAACGCCGCGUGAGUGAAGAAAAGGUUUUCGGAUCGUAAAACUCUGUUGUCAGAGAAGAACAAGUUGGAGAGUAACUGCUCCAGCCUUGACGGUAUCUGACCAGAAAGCCACGGCUAACUACGUGCCAGCCGCUGC
rnacentral:rRNA from 1 species